rnacentral:rRNA from 1 species
AGACUCUGUGCGCGUGCAUAUCAAUAAGCGGAGGAAAAGAAACUAACAAGGAUUCCCUAGUAACGGCGAGUGAAGCGGGAAGAGCUCAAAUUUGAAAUCUUAAAGGUUCUACCUUGACGAAUUGUAGUUUAAAGAAGUGUUUUCUGUCGGAGUUUUGGUAAAAGUUCUUUGGAAUAGGACAUCAUAGAGGGUGAGAAUCCCGUAUUUGACCGUUACUUUCCAGCUGUGUGAUACACUUUCAAAGAGUCGGAUUGUUUGGGAAUGCAGUCCAAGAUGGGUGGUAAAUUUCAUCUAAAGCUAAAUAUUGGCGAGAGACCGAUAGCGAACAAGUACCGUGAGGGAAAGAUGAAAAGAACUUUGAAAAGAGAGUUAAACAGUACGUGAAAUUGUCAAAAGGGAAGCGUUUGACACCAGUGUUGUUUAGUUGAAAAUCAAUUCAAUAGUUUUUGAUUCUAAGUAGUAUUGACUUCAUCAGCUUGCUGCUUUCUUCUCAGAAAUUAUUGAAUGCACUUUUCAGUUAACAAGUCAACAUCAAUUUCUUUUGUUGUAAAAGGGUAAGAGGAAGGUGGCUUGCGCUUCGGCUCAAGUGUUUAUAGCCUUUUAUCUCUGCAAUCGGAGAGAUUGAGGUCUGCAGCGUAGAUCCUUCGGGGUUAGAUACAUUGGUGCUAAGCUAUAGCCUUGUAUAGACAACUUGUUGACUAUGCUCAGUCAUGUAGCUUACUCGCUUAUGCUAUUUUACCUACGCUUAGGAUGUUGAAUCUGUGCGAGACUAC